GGCGGGGACCCACCUCGGACACCCUCGCUGGCCUCCUGGAGCUCCAGGCCCAUGUAGUGCACCUGCUUUCUGGAGGACGGGCUGAUGGGGAUGUUCACGCCUGAGGGCUCCGCACCGUGGGCACCCAGGUCCUACAGGAAGGACCCCGUUCUCCAGUGCCUCCUCCCAUUCUUGUCAUCAGGACCUCGUGAGGGAAUGCACAGCCACGUGAGGCAGGGGAGGCAGCAGCCGGGACAGAGCGAGACGGAGCCCAGGUCGACGAGGGUUCGCUCACCUGAUUCCAUGAACUAAAGCAACCAACACAAUUCUGCCCCAACCCUGCCUGGCCCUGAGGCCCUGGGGAGACCCCCCUCCUGCAAAUGUGUGGUCCUAGAGGGCUGGUCCCCUCGGAAUGCCAGGACCCCUUCAUCGAGAUGAGCCACAGAACAUAGCGGCCAAGUUCUGGUGCCCAGGCAGGCACCUGGGCCAGCAGGGACAGGGCCAGCAGGGCCAGCUGCCUAGAGGAGGGGGCAUGGCUGAGGGGCUGAGGCCAAGAGGGGGUGGUGGGAGAGGCAGGUGGGGUAAGGGCCUGGGGAGAGCUGAGGGAGCGCCGGGGCCUGGCGUCUGGAAAGGGGGCCUUGAACCCAAGGGGCAGGGCCGGGGCUUGCCCACGGUGGGGCUGGACACCCCCCUGCAGCCUGGUACCUUGUUUUAGGAUUGCAUCCGUUCUUCCAAGUUUGCUCCCAAGGGUGGGCGGUGAGGGGUGAGGGUGGAAGCAGGAAGGAGCAUGAGGCCUGACUGCAGGGAAAGGGGACGAAUGUUCCCAACACCACCCGGAGUCACACGGGGGCUGUAAGCAGCGCUGGGCCAGCAGUGUGUCCAUAUCUGCAUCUCCCCCAAGGCCACUGGCUCCAGGGCCCUCAGUGCUCCUCCUCCCGUCCCCUCCUUGGGACUUGGAUUUUGCUUCGGCUUCUGUGAGCAUCGCUUCCAGUACCUCGGAUACUCUUUCAGUGAAGCAGCAACCGGGAAUCGGCUGGCCCUUCUGCACCCUCCUCCCAGACCCCGCCCUGGGCUGGUGGCCCGACACUACCACUUGGGCCUGGCUCACCUCUGUCCCAUGACAGACCCCAGGCGCCCCUCCUGAGUCCCCUGCCUCUGUGGAAAAGAUUCACAUCCUCCAGCAGAUACUGGGCCUGUCCCCUUGAUCCCCACACCUGUGUCCCAGGGCACCCCUGUCUGGGUAAAAGACAUCUGAAGGGUAUGGGUGGCCUCGGGGAGGCAACAGUAGGCUGCCCAGGAGGACCCUUGGGGCAGGGCUGGCCCCACCACCUCUGGUCUGGUGGCCGCCUCAGCACGCUGGACUGCAGGGAUCGGUGUCCAGCCUAGGGCCAAGGCCGACUG